rnacentral:rRNA from 1 species
AUGAAUAGUGCACAGCAAACGCAUCGAGCGAGGAAAAGAUUAGGAUUGGGGCCUCUCUCUCCCGUGAAAAUAUCUUCUCUCUCCCUCAUUUCGCUACUCUUUUCCGUGCCGCCGCCACCCCCCUCCCUCUCGGCCGCAGCCUCCUCUCCUCCGCCUCCACCACCUCCUCCUCCCCUGCCUCUCCUCCGCCCAUGUCUCUUCACCCCCUCCCUCUGCCUCCGUGCUCAAAAGGAGGAGCCGGGGUCGCUGCCGCUGCGCCUCUACAUCGUCCUCACACGCCGUCGUCCUUGCCAUUCUGCCGGUGGAGAGCUCCUCCAUGAUGGCAUCCACCGGAUCUUGCCGGCCCAGAUCCACACGCCUCCUCCUUCCUCGGCAGCUCGUGGAGCCCCAUGA